CAAGUCAGCAGCUCCCCAGUAUCUGAAGGAUCAAGCCAGCACCUCAGCAUAGAGCCUGAGACCCUUCCAUGUGCCUCGCUCCUUCCAGUUUCAUCCCUGCAGCCCUUUGCUCCAGCCAAGUCACCUGGUCCCUCUGCCACGUGUGCCUUCUCUGCUCCUAGCUUGUCCCUUCUCACCCUUUUGGCAUCUGGUGACUCCUCAUUUUGGAGACCUGGCCUAUCCAGAUGUCAGCAGGAGGCUCCAUAGUCAUGUGCAGCUAAGGGCUCUGCUGCGCUUUGCUUAGGUCUGUGACAGCUCCAGACACUUGAGGUCAUUGUGUAUUUGUGCCUUUCUCCACUGGGCACUUUUGCUUGGGAGGAGCAUGUGAUACAGGCAGCCUUCAUUUGACUUAGGUUGGAAAUACUUCCUUUUAUCUGCCUUUGAUUUGACCCCAGCAGGUUGGCCUAUAGGGCUCAUUUCUCUGGCCAUGUGAUUCCUUUUCUCUUUGUAUCAGGUUCAACGCCCUCUAGAUCGCCUGUUCUCCUCUAUUGUCACCGUUGCUGAACAAAAGUAUCAGUCUACCUUGUGGGACAAGUCCAAGAAACUGGCGGAGCAGGCUGCAGCCAUCGUCUGUCUGCGGAGCCAGGGCCUCCCUGAGGGUCGGCUGGGUGAGGAGAGCCCUUCCUUGCACAAGCGAAAGAGGGAG
rnacentral:sRNA from 1 species